GCCCAGACUCCUACGGGAGGCAGCAGUGGGGAAUAUUGCACAAUGGGGGAAACCCUGAUGCAGCGACGCCGCGUGAGCGAUGAAGUAUUUCGGUAUGUAAAGCUCUAUCAGCAGGGAAGAAGAUGACGGUACCUGACUAAGAAGCCCCGGCUAACUACGUGCCAGCAGCCGCGGUAAUACGUAGGGGGCAAGCGUUAUCCGGAUUUACUGGGUGUAAAGGGAGCGUAGACGGCGAUGCAAGCCAGAUGUGAAAGCCCGGGGCUCAACCCCGGGACUGCAUUUGGAACUGUGUGGCUGGAGUGUCGGAGAGGCAGGCGGAAUUCCUAGUGUAGCGGUGAAAUGCGUAGAUAUUAGGAGGAACACCAGUGGCGAAGGCGGCCUGCUGGACGAUGACUGACGUUGAGGCUCGAAAGCGUGGGGAGCAAACAGGAUUAGAUACCCGAGUAUA
rnacentral:rRNA from 1 species